rnacentral:misc_RNA from 1 species
UGGUUCUCGCAUNGAUGAAGAACGCAGCGAAACGCGAUAGGUAAUGUGAAUUGCAGAAUUCAGUGAAUCAUCGAAUCUUUGAACGCACAUUGCGCCUCCUGGUAUUCCGGGGGGCAUGUCUGUUUGAGCGUCAGUACCCACUCUCCCCGAGACUUUUUGUCAAGGGCGAGGUCAUGAGGGCUACCGGCCUUUUAAAGUAGUACGCUUGCGAACUCCCACACCGAUCAUAACGUAGUAGAAUACCCCGUCAUCGAGAGGUUGGGAACCGCCUGAAUCAUAUUUUUUUGAAUUUGACCUCAGAUCAGACAAGGAUACCCGCUGA